AGACUGGGUAAUCUCUGCAGGCAACUGUGAUGUCUUAUGGUUUCUCACAUUAACCUGGAGAGGUUCUGCAGUCU
rfam:Salmo salar isolate Sally breed double haploid chromosome ssa02, whole genome shotgun sequence.